rnacentral:piRNA from 1 species
UGGGACAGACGUCUUAGGACAGCCAU